GACACAUUAUGCCAAAGUGUUCUCAAAAAGGCAGACAUUGAUUUCGUAAGAAGGGGUGAGACAUUUUGGGGAGCCAUAUGAAACCUGAGGGAAGCCAUGAGAAACUUGAUUUGACUUCAAAUCUACUCAUUGACGAUGCUCAAUCAGAGAAUGCCAGGCCUAUAUUUAAGCAUGUUGGCCCAGUACAUAGUAAGUGUGAAGAUGUGGC